rnacentral:rRNA from 1 species
AGAGUUUGAUCCUGGCUCAGGACGAACGCUGGCGGCGUGCCUAACACAUGCAAGUCGAGCGAGGGACUUCGGUCCCUAGCGGCGGACGGGUGAGUAACACGUGGGCAACCUGCCUCAUAGAGGGGGAUAGCCUCCCGAAAGGGAGAUUAAUACCGCAUAACAUCAUGCUAACGCAUGUUAGUAUGAUUAAAGGAGCAAUC